UAAAACUCGAUGCUCACAUGGCUUGUUUGACAAACGCAAGAUGGAAAAUCACAAUCGUUAAUUACAAUUAAAUCUUCCGUAAAUCCCGCGGAAGCUAUAAAACAUUAAUGAAACACAAGUAUCCGGAUUGUAGGAUGUAACGCCAUUAAUUCGAGACUAACGAGAGAUUUGUUUUUUAACCAGGAAGUAAUUCGCACGUGAUAUCAACGCUUUUUCGCACAGUGCGUUAAUGUAUUCACAACAUCGCGAACAUCGAGGAGAAACAUCGUCGUUAGUUCCCGUCGAAGGGAGGAAAAAAAGCUUCCCGAUGUCGCUCUGAACGGAGACAGAAGUGUGCGGAUUAUUGAUUGACGGGAAAAUGCGGAUACAGCCCUGGCACUCAACCCCUCCAAUCCCCUCCAAUCUCCGCAACGCUACAUCGCCCUGGUGCAAGCAAGGAAAGGGCGCCACCCUGGAGACCGCAUAUAUGCACAAUGCGCAGCGCGCCGAGACGGCGAGCACGCUCCAAAUAGCACCGCACGCGGGGAAACGGGUUCUUUUGACGGUCGACGACGUAAUCCGGAUCAUACAGAGAAACGUUCGAGAGUGGAAUCGUAAACUCAGCACACAGAAAACAUGGAGCAAUAAGACGUAAACAGUAAUGAGCUUUCUACAAAAAGCCAUUAUCUUUAAAUUUUAAACUAGUCUCAAUCCUUUGUAUGCCUUGACGCUGCAAAUGCUUCGUUGACCAAUCAGAAGGAGGAAUUUUAUGAAUCGACCAAUGAAAGAAUGCUUCAAAGCAUUUGCAGUAUUAAGUGGAUUACACCUAUAUAGCCUUAACGGGGAGAUUUCGAGCUCGCCUCGGUGCUUCGUUCCGUCACGGUUUCAACCCCCGUACGUCUCUCUCUGCCCUCCAAGGUCACAGGCAUUGAAACAUUGAAACCGCGGGAGCGAACGUGCGGCUUCUACGAUAGCAGAAGCCUCUUAUCUCGCGAGCGUGUCGAGAGAACAAUCGGUUUCUCGGUUCUACGCUUAAACCCGUGGAAUUCGUUCCUCGACGUCAUGAAAAACACCGUUCGCUUCAGAUACGGCGAGCUUAUGGAUAUUUAUACAUUCAAAUUAUUUGAAUAUAGAAACGUAUUUGCACUUUCCGAUAAGGCUAGAUAAAGCUAUUUUCAAGAUAUACUUUGUGCAGUCAUUGC